GUCAGUCAAACCUCAUUAUUCCUCCCGCCUCUUUCGUCAAUGAAGUGCAGCGCACAUCUCAGCUUGUUUGCAGUCUGAAGUGUAAGCAUAACAACAACUUCUAGAGUCCUGAAAAAACAUCAGGUCAGGAUGAAACAGUUGUACACUGUGCCUUUUGAGAGGAACUCUGAACAUGUCAAGCAACUCAGGAACCAAUAUGUCCAGAGAGUCAUGGAGAUUGAAGGCAGGCAAACACCCCACAUUUUCAUCUUUGUGGAUGAGGCGGGUUUCAACUUGGCCAAAACACGGCGACGAGGGAGGAAUGUGAUUGGGAAGAGAGCCACAGUGAAUGUCCCGGGCCAGAGGGGUGCCAACAUCACAAUGUGCGCAGCAAUAUCCACUGAUGGACUGCUCUUACACAAACCACUAAUUGGGCCAUAAAACACUGAACGUCUCCUUGCGUUCCUGCAUGAUCUCUAUGGAAGGGUUGUGCUAGGUGAGGAAAGGGAUGCAGAGAGAAGGAAUCAGCCAACAUUUAUAAUUGUAUGGGACAAUGUGGCAUUUCACCACUCCCACCGAGUGGUUUGCGGCCCAUCCCAGAAUGGAGUCACUUUUCCUCCCACCUUACUCUCCAUUCCUCAACCCCAUAGAGGAAUUCUUUUCCUCGUGGAGGUGGGAGGUUUAUGACCACCAUCCACAUGAUCAAAUGUCCCUCCUGGACGCAAUGAAUGCUGGAUGCCUGGACAUAUCAGCAGAAGAUUGCCAGGGAUGGAUCAGGCAUGGCAGAAGAUUCUUUCCUAGGUGUAUUGCCCUAGAUGACAUAAAAUGUGAUGUGGAUGAGAAUCUGUGGCCAAAUGGAGAAGACCGAGUAGAUUAGCGUUACUAUUGUAUCUGUAUCAGUGGAUGGUGUGUAUACAAAUUGUUGUAUUUUGAAAUUACUAAAUUACUUAUAAAAUAA